rnacentral:lncRNA from 1 species
UCCUGCAAGUGAACGAAAAUAGCGGUGUGAUUAAUCUUGCAAAGUUGUUUGGAGAAAAUGUAGCAAUCUUUUAUUUUAAAAAUACAUCAUUGUAACUGUUGGUACAAGCUAGUAUUAGACAAGUGCACAUGGGAUUAAAAAACACGAGACAAGAAAAACAGAAUUUGAUUGGCUUUACGAUACUCUCUGAUGCACGUUUUAGACUUUUAGUAUCUCUUUACCGUAGCAUUUCGACAAGACAUCCUUCCUGAUGGCUGAUAGGGCUUCACUUGCGAUGACCUUUGCACCUAUACAUGCCUGUCAAGGUGCAAAUCAGCAUCUUAUUGCUAUUAAAAAGGAGUACCAGUUGAGUUGUUCUGAUUCUUCAUAAACAAAUAGCUAUGGCUGCUCGCACUGACCUAUGCACCUAUACAUGCCUGUCAAGGUGCAAAUCAGCAUCUUAUUGCUAUUAAAAAGGAGUACCAGUUGAGUUGUUAUGAUUCUUCAUAAACAAAUAGCUAUGGCUGCUCCUAUUUUCCACCAAAUUGUUAAACACUUUUCUGGUUAAGAGAACUGACCUAGGUCCUCCUAAGACCUAAGCCAAGGUAGAGAUGGUGCCAACUGCUACUUCACAGUUUGUGGUUAAAAUGCAAGAUCAAACCGAUAACUAAAAAAUUAACUGCUGCUAUUUCUUGAUAUAGGUUGCCAAAACUAGGUUGAAUUGAAACAUCUUAGGUACCCCUGACCACAACUUAUAAUCUCCAAUUGUUGAUUUCCCCAGCUUUGCCAUGCAGAUAUAUUACAAAGAAAUGCAAGAAUAAGAUAGAUAGAUAAAUC